CUACGGGGGGCAGCAGUGGGGAAUAUUGGACAAUGGGCGCAAGCCUGAUCCAGCAAUGCCGCGUGAGUGAAGACGGCCUUAGGGUUGUAAAACUCUUUCGCUAGGGAAGAUAAUGACUGUACCUAGUAAAGAAGUCCCGGCUAACUCCGUGCCAGCAGCCGCGGUAAUACGGAGGGGACUAGCGUUGUUCGGAAUUACUGGGCGUAAAGAGUUCGUAGGCGGACUGACAAGUUAGAGGUGAAAUCCCAGGGCUCAACCCUGGAACUGCCUUUAAAACUGUCAGUCUAGAGACCGGAAGAGGUUAGGGGAAUACCUAGUGUAGAGGUGAAAUUCGUAGAUAUUAGGUGGAACACCAGUGGCGAAGGCGCCUAACUGGUCCGGUACUGACGCUGAGGUGCGAAAGUGUGGGGAGCAAACAGGAUUAGAUACCCUUGUAGUC
rnacentral:rRNA from 1 species